CCUACGGGAGGCUGCAGUGGGGAAUAUUGCACAAUGGGGGGAACCCUGAUGCAGCGACGCCGCGUGGGUGAAGGAGUACUUCGGUACGUAAAGUGCUAUCAUCAGGAAAGAAAAUGACGGUACCUGAUUAAGAAGCCUCGGCUAACUACGUGCCAGCAGCCGCGGUAAUACGUAGGGGGCAAGCGUUAUCCGGAUUUACUGGGUGUAAAGUGAGCGUGGACGGCAGUGCAAGGCCGGAGUUAAAGCCCGGGGCCAAACCCUUGGACUGCUCUGGAAACUGUAAAGCUGGAGUGCGGGAGGGGCAAGCGGAAUUUCUGGUGUAGGGGUGAAAUGCGUAGAUAUCAGGAGGAACACCGGCGGCGAAGGCGGCCUGCUGGACCGUAACUGACGUUGAGGCUCGAAAGCGUGGGGAGCAAACAGGAUUAGAUACCCGGGUAGUC
rnacentral:rRNA from 1 species